UUUCGCUAGCUUCAGUCCCCACCUCUCAGUACCGGUCCUUUGCUAGUCUGAAAUUUUCAAUAUCGUCACACUAAUUUAUUGCUUUAAUCUUAGCAGGAUUUGUGUUGGAUGAUGGACUUACUUAUUAAAAUACUUAGGAAGGUUUAUGCUGAAUAGCAACCAUUCUCAAUUUGGAGUCUGCAUCAACCAAUGACUCGAUACUUCUUAGUUUGAGCGCGGGUCAAGUUAAUGAUGAAUUGGUGCAACGGUUAAUGUAAUGGUUGUGUGAGCUCUUUGAGCAGGUCGGGCUUGGUCUGUUGCAAGGUUUAGUAUAGUAUAGUAAUGUGGGGACUUGUUAUGAAGGUAUGUGGUUGCGUGUAUUUGACUUAAAUGAAUGUUUAUGAGUUAUUCAUAUCGAGCCAGGGUAUAUGUUAUAAGUU